AUCUGAUCGACGAAUCUCAAAUAGGACGAAACUCGCGUCCUAGAU
rnacentral:hammerhead_ribozyme from 1 species